rnacentral:rRNA from 1 species
GAUGAACGCUAGCUACAGGCUUAACACAUGCGAGUCGAGGGGUAACGAGAGGAAAGCUUGCUUUCCUUGUCGACGACCGGCGCACGGGUGAGUAACGCGUAUCCAACCUGCCCCCAACUAGGGAAUAACCUUGCGAAAGUAAGACUAAUACCCUAUAAUUUCCUCAGAUGCCAUCUGACGAGGAAUAAAGAUUUAUUGGUUGUGGAUGGGGAUGCGUCUGAUGAGCUUGUUGGCGGGGUAACGGCCCACCAAGGUAACGAUCAGUAGGGGUUCUGAGAGGAAGGUCCCCCACAUUGGAACUGAGACACGGUCCAAACUCCUACGGGAGGCAGCAGUGAGGAAUAUUGGUCAAUGGGCGGAAGCCUGAACCAGCCAAGUAGCGUGCAGGAUGACGGCCCUAUGGGUUGUAAACUGCUUUUAUACAGGAAUAAAGUUAGCCACGUGUGGUUAUUUGUAGGUACUGUAUGAAUAAGGACCGGCUAAUUCCGUGCCAGCAGCCGCGGUAACAC